rnacentral:rRNA from 1 species
AUGCACGCUGGCGGCGUGCCUAAUACAUGCAAGUCGAGCGAACAGACGAGGAGCUUGCUCCUCUGACGUUAGCGGCGGACGGGUGAGUAACACGUGGAUAACCUACCUAUAAGACUGGGAUAACUUCGGGAAACCGGAGCUAAUACCGGAUAAUAUAUUGAACCGCAUGGUUCAAUAGUGAAAGACGGUUUUGCUGUCACUUAUAGAUGGAUCCGCGCCGCAUUAGCUAGUUGGUAAGGUAACGGCUUACCAAGGCGACGAUGCGUAGCCGACCUGAGAGGGUGAUCGGCCACACUGGAACUGAGACACGGUCCAGACUCCUACGGGAGGCAGCAGUAGGGAAUCUUCCGCAAUGGGCGAAAGCUUGACGGAGCAACGCCGCGUGAGUGAUGAAGGUCUUCGGAUCGUAAAACUCUGUUAUUAGGGAAGAACAAAUGUGUAAGUAACUAUGCACGUCUUGACGGUACCUAAUCAGAAAGCCACGGCUAACUACGUG